rnacentral:tRNA from 1 species
GGAGGGGUGGCCGAGUGGCCUAAGGCGGCGGUCUUGAAAACCGUUACCCGAAAGGGUCGUGGGUUCGAAUCCUACCCCCUCCG